rnacentral:rRNA from 1 species
UACGAGGGGGCGAGCGUUGUUCGGAAUUAUUGGGCGUAAAGGGUGCGUAGGCGGUUCCGCAAGUCCUGUGUGAAAUCUUCGGGCUCAACUCGAAGUCUGCACGGGAAACUGCGGGGCUUGAGUGUGGGAGAGGUGAGUGGAAUUCCCGGUGUAGCGGUGAAAUGCGUAGAUAUCAGGAGGAACACCGGUGGUGUAAACGGCUUCUGGACCAUAACUGACGCUGAGGCACGAAAGCGUGGGUAGCAAACAGG